GCUUGGCCCUAAACCUCAGUAGUUAGAUAACAAAACUACUCGCCAGAAUACUACAAGCAACAGCUUAAAACUCAAAGGACUUGACGGUGCUUUACACCCCCUAGAGGAGCCUGUUCCGUAAUCGAUAAACCCCGAUCCACCCCACCCUCUCUUGCUCAGCCUAUAUACCGCCAUCUUCAGCAAACCCUAAUAAAGGUUACAAAGUGAGCGCAAAUGCCAUACCGCAAAAACGUUAGGUCAAGGUGUAGCCUAUGAGACGGUAAAAAAUGGGCUACAUUUUCUACCUCAGAAAAUUCCACGAAAACCCUUAUGAAAUUUAAGGGUCCAAGGAGGAUUUAGCAGUAAAUUAAGAAUAGAGUGCUUAAUUGAACCAGGCCAUAAAGCGCGCACACACCGCCCGUCGUUCUU
rnacentral:rRNA from 1 species